AUUGAACGCUGGCGGCAUGCCUUACACAUGCAAGUCGAACGGCAGCACGGGUGCUUGCACCUGGUGGCGAGUGGCGAACGGGUGAGUAAUACAUCGGAACAUGUCCUGUAGUGGGGGAUAGCCCGGCGAAAGCCGGAUUAAUACCGCAUACGAUCUACGGAUGAAAGCGGGGGACCUUCGGGCCUCGCGCUAUAGGGUUGGCCGAUGGCUGAUUAGCUAGUUGGUGGGGUAAAGGCCUACCAAGGCGACGAUCAGUAGCUGGUCUGAGAGGACGACCAGCCACCCUGGGCCUGAGACACGGCCAAGACUCCUAGGGGGGGCAGCGGGGGGGAAUUUUGGAAAAUGGGGGAAAGCCUGACCCAGCAAGCCCGGGUGUGUGAAGAAGGCCUUCGGGUUGUAAAGCCCUUUUGUCCGGAAAGAAAUCCUUGGCUCUAAUACAGGGGGGGGAUGACGGUACCGGAAGAAUAAGCACCGGCUAACUCCGU
rnacentral:rRNA from 1 species